UACGAAGGGUGCAAACGUUGCUCGGAAUUAUUGGGCGUAAAGCGCACGUAGGCGGCUUUGCAAGUCCAAUGUGAAAGCCCACGGCUUAACCGUGGAAGUGCAUGGGAAACUGCAGUGCUUGAGUACUUAAGAGGAUCGCGGAAUUCCCGGUGUAGAGGUGAGAUUCGUAGAUAUCGGGAGGAACACCAGUGGCGAAGGCGGCGAUCUGGGAAGAUACUGACGCUGAGGUGCGAAAGCGUGGGGAGCAAACAGG
rnacentral:rRNA from 1 species